rnacentral:tRNA from 1 species
GGGGUUGUGGCUCAGUGGUAGACUGCUUGCCUGGCAUGCAUGGGGAACUGGGUUCGACCCUCAGCACCACA